CAAAGAAAAUGACUAAAACCCUAUUUAUAGGCAAAAAUCACGAGUUUGGGCUGUUCCGGGCGCUCAGGCGCCAAUUCAGAGCGCCUGAGCGCCAAUUCCAUCCUGAAAAUGAGCCCCUGGAAGGUAAUUGGCGCCUAGGCGCCAAUUAAGCACACCUAGGCGCCAAUUCCAGACCCCUGGAAAAAGCAAUUGGCGCCUAGGCGCCAAUGGAGCACGCCUAGGCGCUCUGACUCGCUGGAAAACCUUUUGAUCUUCAUUUUAACUCCCCUUUACUCCUCUUUAAGCCUCCCUUCAAUU
rnacentral:lncRNA from 1 species